AUGAAUCAGAACACUACUGAGCCUGCGGUGGCCACUGAGACCCUGGCUGAGGUACCCGAACAUGUGCUGCGAGGACUUCCGGAGGAAGUGAGGCUUUUCCCUUCUGCUGUUGACAAGACCCGGAUUGGUGUCUGGGCCACUAAACCAAUUUUAAAAGGCAAAAAAUUUGGGCCAUUUGUUGGUGAUAAGAAAAAAAGAUCUCAGGUUAAGAAUAAUGUAUACAUGUGGGAGGUAAGAAGUAAUUCUGAUUCUUUGUUUUUCAGAGUUUUAUGAAAUAAUUAUUCUGUUCUCUCAGAAUUUGACAUUUUGAAAUUAAAACAAUCAUUUUAAUGUGUUCUUUAAAAUCAAGAAUAUUUUUAUUAAAGAGAAAAUGUGUUUCCCUGGAUACAGACUGCUAUUUAUAUAUGCUUUUGUAUUUUGAAACUGCUUGGCUGUCCUCAACAAUAAAUGUCAAAUCCAUGUUUUAUAUUGCGGUGUCCAGGGUGUUUUGCUUUGCAACUAAGACUUUGACUUCCUGUUCGAUGGUUUGUCACUUCACAGGCUUCCAGAUAAACCCCAUAAAAGACACUAUGGUGGCUGC
rnacentral:lncRNA from 1 species